GUACAUGUGAAAAGGAUCUCAGGGUCUUGGUGGACCACAAGCUUAAAUGAGUCAAUAGUGUGAUGCAGCAGCAAAAAAAGCUAAUGAUAUUCUAGGCUGCAUCAACAAAAGUAUAGUGUCCGGAUCAAGGGAAGUAAUAGUACCACUCUAUUCUGACUUAGUCAGACCACACUUGGAAUACUGUGUCCAAUUCUGGGCACCACAAUUUAAGAAGAAUGUUGACAAACUGGAGGAGGGCAGAGGAGGGCAACCAAGAUGAUCAAGGGUCUGGAAACAGACUUACGAGGAGCGCUUGAAGGAGUUGGGUAUGUUUAGCCUGGAAAAGAGGAGACAGAGGAGAUAUGAUAGCCAUCUUAAAAUAUCUUAAGGGUUGUCACAUGGAGGAGGGAGCAUGCUUAUUUUCUCCUGCUCUGGAGCGUGAGCCAAUGGCUUCAAAUUGCAAGAAAGGAGAUUCUGACUAAACAUUCGGAAAAACUUUCUGACAGUAAGAGCUGUUCAGCAGUGGACCAGACUCCCAUGAGAAGUGGUAGACUCUCCUUCCUUGGAGGUUUUUAAACAGAUGUUGGAUGGCUAUCUGCCAUGGAUGCUUUAGUUGAGAUUCCUGCAUUGCAGGGGGUUGGACUGGAUGACCCUUGGCGUCCCUCCCAACUCUAAGAUUCUAUGAUUCUGUUAUUUAUUAAGUAGAACUUUGCACGUAAGAUCUUCUGUUUGAUGUACUACAUGGGAAUGUUUGUCAAAUAGUUCUUAGAUUUAUUUAUUUUUAAGAACCACAUUGCUGCGAAAAUUCAUUACGCCCUCAGGGAACCUACUUUUCAAGGUGAUAACUUCUGUUUUUCUGUCAUGCCAUUUCAAACACUAGCUUCUCUCUAAAAAAAUAUAUUUGCUUCUGACAGUUUUUUGUUUUUUUUGUAAUUGUACUCUGGGCAAAGUCGUCCUCUCCCCCUCCCCUGCCCCCCGGUAUCAGAAAUCUGUGCUACAGUAGCUCCUGCUAUCUGUGCCCCACCGGAGCAAACUCCCGCUGUGCAGCUUUUGCUGUGGCGCUGCAGUUAAUUUCCCCUUGUGGCCAUUUGGCUAAUCCUCUGAUAGAGAACAGGGAGAGGUUCAUGUGAACAACAAGAAAAGUGCAGGAGAAAUGCUUUGACUCACAGACAUUUUGACUUGCAGCUCCCCACAAACUUGAAAAAUAUGCCUUUUGGAAAAGGUUGGCUUUUUUUUUUUUAAGUCUCUCCACCCACAGUCUGUACAGCCCGGAAUGUGAAAUACAGGCCGUUUUAGAUGGCUGGGAGACAAGCCUUGCGGGAAAUGCAUUAAGGAGCUCUAAUAUUACAGCAACAUGGUGACUGCAUGCUUUAUUUUGAAAAUACCAUGAAUGUAAUGCCAGCUUCCUUCUUAUGUCUAUUGAAAUGGAGACAAGUGAUGGCAGACAUAGUUGUGUGCCUUUUCGAGGGGAGAAGCAUAUUGUCUGAGAUACACUCGCAUAUUUCAGUAUAUUCAUGUAUCCUGUUUACUCUCACCAGACGUCAACAACUCACACAGCACAUACGGUAUAAGGGGGUCCACACAUAGAGCAAGGAGUGGGGCGGUAUCCAAAGUUGUUGCCAGGCUAGCCCUGCCGCUAAUGUUCAGAGCAUGCUCAUUUUUUCGUGAUGAAUCCCAUUAGCACACAGUCACUACUCGUGAGCACCGUGUGUGGUCUCACAUAGAUGGGAUAUGUAAUCCCCAAGGGAGAAUAAUUCUACGUUAGUUUUCUCCUUUUUAAGGCUAGAAAUUCCCUUUCUUUAUUGGAGAGCAUUGCAUCCUGUGAACCCCUUAGCUUUUUAGCCUGAAGGUUCAGUCACAUAUUCAAUGAUCUCAGGCAAUGUUUGUGAGAACGAGACUCUCUCUUGGAGGAGGAGAUAUUGCUUUGAUGAUGCGAGGGAAAACAGCAGCUACAAGAAUACUAUCACGAGCAUUAUAAGUUUGCGAAUGUACGUCAUGCUGUGAUUUACUUUUUUUUUUAAGUGCAUAGGAGAUGUGCUUUAUUUUUAAGACCUGUAAUGAGGUUUCAGCAUGUUUUAAAUGAAUAGCACAGGAAACGCAGAAUAAUUGUUGCU
rnacentral:lncRNA from 1 species